UUGAUGCAAUAGUUCCUUCACCAAGAAAUUCUUUUUUUAAAAAGACAGCUUUAUUGCUGACGAACAUCUUCUAUUCGUCAGCAUGGUAGAAGUAAUAUCCCUUGGUCUCUUUUAGGUACCCUACAAAUAAAUAUUUAUUAGACUUAGGUCUAAGCUUGUCAGUUUUCAAACAUUUGACAUAAGUCGGACAUCCUCAAACCCUCA
rnacentral:lncRNA from 1 species